rnacentral:rRNA from 1 species
UGAACGCUGGCGGCGUGCUUAACACAUGCAAGUCGUACGAGAACUCUUUAGCUUGCUAAAGAUAGUAAAGUGGCGUACGGGUGAGUAACGCGUGGGUAAUCUACCUCUGAAUUGGGGAUAACAUUGCGAAAGCGAUGCUAAUACCGAAUAAUAUCUUUUGAGCUUCGGCUUUUAAGAUCAAAAGUGGUCACUACAUGUAAACUACUGUUUGGAGAUGAGCCCGCGUACCAUUAGCUUGUUGGUAGGGUAAUGGCCUACCAAGGCUGCGAUGGUUAGCUGGUCUGAGAGGAUGAUCAGCCACACUGGAACUGACACACGGUCCAGACUCCUACGGGAGGCAGCAGUGGGGAAUUUUGCGCAAUGGGGGAAACCCUGACGCAGCAACGCCGCGUGAGUGAUGAAGGCUUUCGGGUCGUAAAGCUCUGUCAAGUGGGAAGAACCUGCAAUAUGUUAAUAUCAUAUUGCACUGACGGUACCACUAAAGGAAGCACCGGCUAACUCC